AAUAUAAAAAAAUAAAAUUAAAAACCCCACACCCACACCUGGGCGUAUGUGGGUGUUCGACCAGAGAAGAGAAAGAAGGGGGAAACCCCUUCUCAAACCCUAAUCGACCAAAUUGGAUGGAUUUUGGCUGAAAUCGAACUUGCAUGAACAAGAUUCUUGAUUGUUCAACUCUGUAAAACACAUGGAAUCCCAAUUGACAUGGACUUAAGAAUAGAAGGCUAACGGAUCAAGGGUAAAUAAAGAAGCUAUGCACAACUCGGACGCACGAUGUAUAUGAACACCGGGUUCUUAAAGUAUCGAAGUCGAACUCUGAAUAAGAAAAUACGAAAGGAUAGUUAAAUAAAUCAAAGUUUCAUUGUUAAAUGUUAUUCACUAUUAGAUUAUAUGAGAAUCAUGUUGUAUAACGUUGUUAAUGACUAAUGGUUAAGUUGUAUGUGAUGUUCACAGGUAUUGCACGUAUCUCUACCACUACUAUCGAAGAUAAGCAUGCAUUGAUCGAGCCCAAAAUUAAAGGUUGUACGAGAAGAACGGCCACAUAGUCUGAUUUAUGUAUUGUCUUGAAGUGUUAACUUAAUGUGGUUAUUGUUAAUCCCUUUUUUGUAAAUGUUUAUCAUUUGUAUUUGAGCUUUUAAAUAAGUAAUGGGUCUAAAUAAGAAAGAAAAUUUUUGGGCUCAUAUUUUCCGCUGCGUCAUGUUUAAGUUCUUACAGGGAAUUGUUCAUUAUACGAACGGGUCAUGCCCGAAUUUUGUAAAUAAUAAUACUUAUUUGGAAUAAGAAUUAUGGGCGUUACAAGUUGGUAUCAGAGCCCUAGUUUGAGGGAAAUCAAGUAUGAGGAGGUAAAUACUUGAACUCAAACCUACGUGCUCUUGUAACCAGGAUCCCGUACAAUCCAGGACUCGAUCAAGAUCUAAAGGUAAAAGCGAAUGUAAGUAUGUAUUUAUGCAUGUGAAUAAAGAAACUAACGGUUUUGUAUGUGCAAGGUAAGCAUAAGUGUUUAAAGAUGAUGGUCCGUGGAUGCAGAAUAAGAUGAAUACUAAGGCAGGCAAAGAUGCAAAUAGGCAAAUUAACCCCAGGUGAGCAUGAUAUACGGAAAUGUAAUGUCACAAACUGGAAGGAAAUAGUCAAGCAAAAUAUGGAUAACAAGUCAAUGGAUUUCGACUUGUGCCAGGUAUGUAUAAAAGUUAUGCAUUUAAUAGGAGUUUAUGACUCGACUAGAGAUGGAUGCGUCAGGAUAGAAUAAUCGAUAGGCAUAUGUAAGAUUGUAUUUACAAAGUAGACUCCCGAAGGUCAAACGAAAUAUAAUGAUAAGUAAUAAAGCAAGUAAUAAAAUGCGGGUAAAAAGGUGAUUGUAGUUUGACUCUUGAGAAGACGAAUGAAGAUGAAUUGUUAAUAAUAAAAGAAGUAAUAAAGAAUGGAUAGAUUAGUUCGGUCCAUUAAGUAGGUAUGAAACAUCGAAAACGGUUGAUGUGGCAAGAAGUUGUAGUCGUAAGAAAUAAACAUUGGGUAAAUUACAAGCGUGAAAUAUGUUGAUACUUGACUCUAGAGAGUCAAAGUGAAUGACGGGUUACGACCCGGGCGAAAGACCUAAGCUUUAAUGGAAAGGACAAGUGUACGUGAGGAGCACUAAAGCAUAAAGUGAUGAAAUUAAAUAUAUGCUUGAAUUGACAAGAAGUACAAACAUGUACUUCGUUAUGUGUAUUCAUAAAAGAGAAAGAAGUGGCAGGUUGACUUUGAAAAGUCAAACUGCAGAAGUUGAUAAAUAAGUUAAAAAAAAAUUGCGGAAGAACAGUUAUGUAUUGAACCAUCGUGAAUGGGUCAAACAACUAAAAUGAUAUGUUAAGAAAUGGUCAUGUAUAGACCUAUUUUGUACAGGUGGAACACAUCAAUGUUCUACGAAGGAGUUGAGAAAGUAUUAAUAUAUAAAUAAGGAACCAAGAUGUGAUAAUCCUAGUAAGGUCAGUGAGAGAAUGUUCAUAAGCGAAAGCUCGUCACACGGAUGAAUGAGGUCAAUCCGAAACAUGGUAUGGAUGGUGACGAAGAGGACCGGCUCGUUUCUGCAUGUCCAAGUACUGCGUUAAGGAAGUAAGGAAUCCCAAUUGACAUGGACUCAAGAAUAGAAGGCUAACGGAUCAAGGGUAAAUAAAGAAGCUAUGCACAACUCGAACGCACGAUGUAAGUGAUUCCAAUUCACUUCUUAGUAUGUACGUAGUAUUUAGUAUUUAUGUGUAGAAAAAUAUGCAAGAAUCAUGUAAUGAAUGAGAAGUAUUGAGGUAAGUAUUAUUUUAGUAUAACAAAGGAGUUGUUUAUAAUGAAAGUAAACUUGUAGGAUUAGACUGGUCAAAUAAUGUAUAAAGGGGUUUAUAAGCCGUUUGCUUAUAAAUCAGAUUUUGAUGCGUCGCGAAGUGAUAAACAGAUCCGCAAUUAAAUUACGGGCGCGUAGGAAAAAGAAUCGGGUAAAACGGAUCAAAAAUGAGAGAGUUAUGUCCGUUUCGGUAAGAAUUAAUGGCUGGGAAAAGUGCAGAGCUGACACGGCCGGGUGGUGAGCUGACAGGGCCGGGUGAAUGUUCUGUGAAAAAUUUAUGGUUAGUUGACACGGCCGGGUGGUUAACCCGACCCUGCCGGGUGAAGGGGCUGAAAAUAAAAAUAAAAAAAUAAUAUAUGUAAGUAGGAAGUGGUUGCUAUGAAUGCACGUAAAAAUUAGGAAUGUAUACGUUUGUGAAUGCGAAAUCUUAUAAAUGUAUGAAGAAAUGGUACGGAAUGGUUUCAUUAUGUUCGAGCAUUAAUGAUUGCUAAUGGUGUCUUUGAGAUUGAAAUGCAUUGCAGGUAUAUGAACACCGGGUUCUUAAAGUAUCGAAGUCGAACUCUGAAUAAGAAAAUACGAAAGGAUAGUUAAAUAAAUCAAAGUUUCAUUGUUAAAUGUUAUUCACUAUUAGAUUAUAUGAGAAUCAUGUUGUAUAACGUUGUCAAUGACUAAUGGUUAAGUUGUAUGUGAUGUUCACAGGUAUUGCACGUAUCUCUACCACUACUAUCGAAGAUAAGCAUGCAUUGAUCGAGCCCAAAAUUAAAGAUUGUAUGAGAAGAACGGCCAGAUAGUCUGAUUUAUGUAUUGUCUUGAAGUGUUAACUUAAUGUGGUUAUUGUUAAUCCCUUUUUUGUAAAUGUUUAUCAUUUGUAUUUGAGCUUUUAAAUAAGUAAUGGGUCUAAAUAAGAAAGAAAAUUUUUGGGCUCAUAUUUUCCGCUGCGUCAUGUUUAAGUUCUUACAGGGAAUUGUUCAUUAUACGAACGGGUCAUGCCCGAAUUUUGUAAAUAAUAAUACUUAUUUGGAAUAAGAA